UACGUAGGGUGCAAGCGUUGUCCGGAAUUAUUGGGCGUAAAGAGCUCGUAGGCGGUCUGUCGCGUCGACUGUGAAAACCCGGGGCUCAACUCCGGGCUUGCAUUCGAUACGGGCAGGCUAGAGUUCGGUAGGGGAGUCUGGAAUUCCUGGUGUAGCGGUGAAAUGCGCAGAUAUCAGGAGGAACACCGGUGGCGAAGGCGGGACUCUGGGCCGAUACUGACGCUGAGGAGCGAAAGCGUGGGGAGCGAACAGG
rnacentral:rRNA from 1 species